rnacentral:rRNA from 1 species
GAAUCUUGCGCAAUGGCCGAAAGGCUGACGCAGCGACGCCGCGUGCGGGAGGACGCUUUUCGGAGUGUAAACCGCUGUCGGGUGGGACGAAGGUCCCGGGAAGGAAAUGCCCUGGGGAUGACGGUAGCACCAGAGGAAGCACCGGCACACUUCGUGCCAGCAGCCGCGGUAAUACGAAGGGUGCGAGCGUUGUUCGGAAUUAUUGGGCGUAAAGCGCACGUAGGCGGCUUUGUAAGUCUCACUGUGAAAGCCCGGGGCUCAACCCCGGGAGGCCAGGGGAUACUGCGAGGCUGGAGACAAGCAGAGGUUGGUAGAAUUCCGGGUGUAGCGGUGGAAUGCGUAGAGAUCCGGAGGAAUACCAGAGGCGAAGGCGGCCAACUGGGCUUGAUCUGACGCUGAGGUGCGAAAGCGUGGGGAGCGAACAGG